UCCGCCUCCCACCGACCAACCGCUGUGUCUCCAGGACCUCGCGUGGCCCAUCGCACACAAAGCCACAGUCACAAGUGGGAAGUGGGGGCGCCUGUGAGCGCAGAGGCUCACCUGGAAACAUCUGUACCUCAACGCAGAUCCUCUGGGUCCUCUGGAAGGACUGCAGCUUGAUUUCUUGCAUCAGAAAAACUACAUUGCUUGGUACAGUACCCAGAACUCAGGAAUUAAGGGAAGAGAGGUUAAACUUGCCUCAGGAUUGCAGAGCCCUCAGCCCAUGGUCAGGGGCUCCAGGCAGGAACAUCAUGGAGGAAGGCCUUGUCAAAGCUGCUAAGUUCGUGGAUCUGAGAAGCAGAACAGAGGAACAGAGUCAGAGAUCAGAGGCACCACCCAGGAGAUGCAGACUUGUAAGCUUGCUGCGCUUCUGAGCUGUGCACCCUCGCUGCAGAGCAGUCUGCCCGGCUCUGCUGUUGAACAUCGAGGCAACCACGUCACAGUGGAAGAUGUGCCUCUGUCCACACCUGUAUGACAAGCACUUUCAGUGAUUGCCAUGUGAACACGUUGUCUUGGAAGACCGCAAAGUGGUAGGCAGCAGUAAAUCAACCUCGGAAACGUUUCAAAAAGAAAAAGGAAUGAGGAUGGGAAUCAGGGGAAAUGGAGGACAGAGAAAGGGAAAAAAAUGCAAGAUAAUUAUAUCACUACUGUCUCUUAGCUCAUCGGAACGAAAGAUUUGUGCUAAUACCAUUUGGAGAAUUUUUAUGCCUGUAUCUUGAACUCUGAGUUGCUACUUUAAAGACAACGAUGCACAAUGUGUUAACUAUUGUUAUUCUCCUAUUACUUUGUUAAGAAAUUUUGUCUUAAUUUUGUUCAUAAAAAAAGCAAUAAAUAAUGAACUCAACAA